rnacentral:rRNA from 1 species
GACGAACGCUGGCGGCGUGCCUAAUACAUGCAAGUCGAACGCACAGUUUAUACCGUAGCUUGCUCCACCAUAGACUGUGAGUUGCGAACGGGUGAGUAACGCGUAGGUAACCUGCCUGGUAGCGGGGGAUAACUAUUGGAAACGAUAGCUAAUACCGCAUAAUAUUAAUUAUUGCAUGAUAAUUAAUUUAAAGGUGCAAUUGCACCACUACCAGAUGGACCUGCGUUGUAUUAGCUAGUAGGUGAGGUAACGGCUCACCUAGGCGACGAUACAUAGCCGACCUGAGAGGGUGAUCGGCCACACUGGGACUGAGACACGGCCCAGACUCCUACGGGAGGCAGCAGGAGGGAAUCUUCGGCAAUGGACGAAAGGCUGACCGAGCAACGCCGGGUGAGGGAAGAAGGGUCUCGGAUCGUAAAGCUCUGUUGUAAGAGAAGAACGGGUGGGAGAGUGGAAAGUUCACACUGUGACGGUAUCUUACCAGAAAGGGACGGCUAACUACGUG